CACUAUCGAUGUUCCUUUUAAACAAGUAUUUGAGUAAAAGCGAUGUUUCCAAUGUGUGUCAGAAAGUGAAUACUUGUAUAUUUCCGCACGGUUAGAGCUGAGCUUUCCGAGCAAAUUUUACUGGGACCCGGUUGAAAGACAGGUCUUGGAAGUGAAAUGAUGACUGACUAGAUGAAACUGCCAGACUGUCUUCUGAAGUGGCUAUAAUAUUUACACUCCCAUCAGCAGUGUUUAAAGGAAAGAUCGCUUUCAGUUUCUGAAUACCCAUGGAAGGACAUGGUUAUAUUAUGUCAUAUCAUUAUAUCUGACCCAGUUUCUAAGGAUCCAGUUGCUGAUAUAAAUCCGAGAGAAGGGGUCUCACUAUGUUGUCUGGAGUGCUGUGGUGGAGUGGAGUGGCUAUUCACAGCUGAGUUUGCAGAGUAAACCACUACCCUGAAAUCUGGAAAGGCAGGUGCACCCACAGAUCCUCAGCUGAGAUCCAAUUACCUGAAAUAGAAGCUGCCAUUAGGAACACUUAAAAGAGCCUGUUCUGCUGGGACACAGAAUCACUUGCUCCAUCUCAUACAUUGAUGAUGAUUAAUUUGUAUGUGUACCUUCCAAAAAAGAUGGUUGUGUUUGAAUGGAGGCCUUCUGGACAGGAAAAUAUGGAGAGUGCGUGCUUUGGAUUCAAGACUGGGAAUGAGGGGACCAGAAACCUAUUCUGUGGCUGU
rnacentral:lncRNA from 1 species